rnacentral:rRNA from 1 species
UACGUAGGGGGCGAGCGUUGUCCGGAGUUACUGGGCGUAAAGCGCUUGUAGGCGGUCCACCAAGUUUGGGGUGACAGUUGCCGACUUAAUCGGCAAAGUGCCUCAAAGACUGGCGGACUUGAGGGCCACAGAGGGACAUGGAACUCCAGGUGUAGUGGUGAAAUGCGUAGAUAUCUGGAAGAACACCGAAGGCGAAGGCAGUGUCCUGGGUGGUCGCUGACGCUGAGACGCGAAAGCGUGGGGAGCAAACAGG